UUGACCUCAAAUCAGGUAGGACUACCCGCUGAACUUAAGCAUAUCAAUAAGCGGAGGAAAAGAACUAACAAGGAUUCCCCUAGUAACUGCGAGUGAAGCGGGAAAGCUCAA
rnacentral:rRNA from 1 species